rnacentral:rRNA from 1 species
AGGAUGAACGCUGGCGGCGUGCCUAAUACAUGCAAGUCGAGCGAACGGACGAGAAGCUUGCUUCUCUGAUGUUAGCGGCGGACGGGUGAGUAACACGUGGAUAACCUACCUAUAAGACUGGGAUAACUUCGGGAAACCGGAGCUAAUACCGGAUAAUAUUUUGAACCGCAUGGUUCAAAAGUGAAAGACGGUCUUGCUGUCACUUAUAGAUGGAUCCGCGCUGCAUUAGCUAGUUGGUAAGGUAACGGCUUACCAAGGCAACGAUGCAUAGCCGACCUGAGAGGGUGAUCGGCCACACUGGAACUGAGACACGGUCCAGACUCCUACGGGAGGCAGCAGUAGGGAAUCUUCCGCAAUGGGCGAAAGCCUGACGGAGCAACGCCGCGUGAGUGAUGAAGGUCUUCGGAUCGUAAAACUCUGUUAUUAGGGAAGAACAUAUGUGUAAGUAACUGUGCACAUCUUGACGGUACCUAAUCAGAAAGCCACGGCUAACUACGUGCCAGCAGCCGCGGUAAUACGUAGGUGGCAAGCGUUAUCCGGAAUUAUUGGGCGUAAAGCGCGCGUAGGCGGUUUUUUAAGUCUGAUGUGAAAGCCCACGGCUCAACCGUGGAGGGUCAUUGGAAACUGGAAAACUUGAGUGCAGAAGAGGAAAGUGGAAUUCCAUGUGUAGCGGUGAAAUGCGCAGAGAUAUGGAGGAACACCAGUGGCGAAGGCGACUUUCUGGUCUGUAACUGACGCUGAUGUGCGAAAGCGUGGGGAUCAAACAGGAUUAGAUACCCUGGUAGUCCACGCCGUAAACGA